rnacentral:rRNA from 1 species
GACGAACCGUGCGAACGUUGUUCGGAUUCACUGGGCUUAAAGGGCGCGUAGGCGGGCUGCCAAGUCAGGGGUGAAAUCCUCCGGCUCAACCGGAGAACAGCCCCUGAUACUGGCGGCCUCGAGGGAGGUAGGGGCAGGCGGAACUUCCGGUGGAGCGGUGAAAUGCGUAGAUAUCGCUUGGAACGCCGAAGGUGAAAACAGGUCGCUGGGGAUGUGCCGACGCUGAGACACGAAAGCCAGGGGAGCAAACGGG